rnacentral:rRNA from 1 species
AAAACAUCUCUUCUUGACUUAUUUGGAUAAGAAGUAGGCCCUGCCCGGUGACUUAGCGGUUAAACGGCGGUUAGUUCCUUAAAGUAGCAUAAUCAAUCGGCCUUUAAUUGGGGUCUAGUAUGAAUGGGUUGACGUCGGAGCGACUUUCUUACGGGGGGUAGUUGAAAUUUUCAUUCUCGUGAAAAGGCUAGGCUAAGUUUAAUAGACGAGAAGACCCUAUCGAGCUUGUUAACUCUUUGUGAGAGUGCGUUUGGGGUAGAUUUGUUGGGGAAACAGCGGAGAAAGUAAACCUCCGUUAAGUUUGAUGCAGGUCCCGUUUAAUGUGGAGAAAAGAAUUAGUUACCGUAGGGAUAACAGCGCAAGACUGCUUGGAAGGCCAUAUUUAAGGCGGUAGUUGCGACCUCGAUGUUGGAUUAGGGCAUCUACCAGGCGCAGAAGCUUGGUUAGAGGGUCUGUUCGACCCUUAAAACCCUACAUGAUCUGA